GGAUCGAUAGUAGGUCCUUCUGGAUUAAUUAUGUUUCCCCACUCUCUACUCCAUUGGCAAUCCUUCUGGUCUACCCUAGAUUGAUUGCCAUUCACGAACUCGAUACAGAGGAGAAUGACGAUUCUCUUAUUCCUCCUUCUAUUCCACUUU